rnacentral:lncRNA from 1 species
UAGCCAUAGUCUGCUAAGAGACCAAUGAUACCCCAAGAAACCUUCUUAUUAAGGUGCCAAACUGGACUAUACAGUUUUUUUCAGAUGCAGAUGAAGCCUCAUAGAACAGAAUGAAAAGGGGAACCCAAAAUAAGCCUUUAAGGACUGGGCUUGGUCACUGCCCUCCAGGAGGCAUGAAAUGUUGAGGGGCCCUGAUGGGGAGAGAAGGAAAACAGUGGUGGAAGAGCCUAGGGGUGGGAAUUGUUGUUUGUUGUUGUUUAGUCGUUAGUUGUGUCCGACUCUUCGUGACCCCCCUGGACCAGAGCACGCCAGGCACUCCUGUCUUCCACUGCCUCCCGCAGUUCGGUCAAACUCAUGCUGGUAGCUUCAAUAACAAGGAAUGGAGAAUUCAUGCUAGGAGACCCAUGCCCUCAACACAAAUCCCACUCCCAGGCUAGGCUUCUAUGUGCUUGCAAGGGUUCUGGCCUUUGUAAAGCUUGUGUUUCUUGGGGUAUCAUUUAUUAGGAUUGAGGAAAGCGCUCCCUCUUAUCUAUCUGACUGCUCCCGCCCCACUUGUACAUGCAGAUAAAUGUUGAUCUUAACUACUAAGGUGUGUUGCAUCCACUCCAGAAUAUAUUUCAGAGAAAGAUUUGCUAGUAUAUGCAACUCAAUUUUAGAAUUGCCUAGAGCAGGGGUAGUCAACCUUUUUAUACCUACCACCCACUAAUGCAUCUUUCUUGAUGGUAAAAUUUCCUUACUGCCCCCCAGUGCUCGAUGGAAGGAGGAUUCAGCUUGUGCCGUAGAACCCCUUACCGCCCACCUAGAAUCCUGAAAUGCCCACUAGUGGGCGGUAGGGACCAGGUUGACAACCCCUGGCCUAGAGGGUAAGUCCCAUUAAUUUCAGUGGACUUGUUUCCAAAGAUUAGACUUCUUUCUCUAGGGUAUAUUUUCAGGGAAUUUUUUGCUGCCCUGCUUCAAUAAGUGGGAACAUGAGAAUUCCCACUUCUUGUGCAAGGCAACAUGGAGCCUCAUUCUAGAUGUGCCAACUAAAAGUGUAUCAGUGACCUGUCUGCCAUCUGUUGUGCAUGGGAGUGGAAGUGCUAUACAGAGCACAGUUGGAGAACCUGUGGCCCUCCAGAUAUUGCCCUAUCAGCCACAGCCAGCAUCACCAGUGGUCUGGAUGGAUGGUGGCAGUUGCGCUCUAACACCUGGCAGGCUGCAUUUCCCCCAUCCCUGGCAUAACCCUUCCUCUCCUACUGUGAUAUUGAUCCCCAAUGUGCUGUUUGCAUUGGAAAAGGUUCCCACUGGAGGAAAUGGGAGCUCCUGCAGCAAAGCAAAUUGCAGGUGCAUCAGCCUGAUCAGGUAAAUACGGGCUCCUUUAAGGGACAAAAGCAUAAAGGCGCCUUUGCCCCAGAUCACUCUCCCUACACCUGUAGUUCACGUUUUAAAAAUGAUUCAUGCAGUUGCUGAAUGUCGCUGUGCCUAGUUUGGCUCUCCGUCAUGUUUUUAUUGUCUCUUCUUAUCGUCACAAUUUAGGAAAUUUAGAUACAUGCUCACUGACAAACUGAUUAACUGAAUACUUGGCCUAUUACCACCCUUGCCUUCUUUAGCCUGGCUUUCAAAUGUCAUAAAAUUUGAGGCGUUCAGAAAUGGACCACAUUUCCGAGACAAUUCCAGGGGUGCAGGGGCCUCACGGGGAGAGGAGAGAGAGAGGGAAAAGCCCUCUUUCUUUUGAGGGGCAUGUAUGAUGCCAUGCAUGACAACUCUUCCGAAGGAUAGCAUCUCCCCUUGCUUCGCAUGCCAGGUUCUUAAGGACUUGGCCAAAAUGCAUUGACUUGGGGCCACAAGUUGUGAAUGCAUUUUGAUUUCUACCUAUGUGCUUAAUCUACCAAUCACUACCCCGACUCUAGCUUUUAGUUAAGUGGUACUUGUGUAGAAAUAGCAUUUGGUGGAUUACUUUCCUGUGUCUGUCCAUUGAAGCUAAAUGUAGGCUUAAAAAUUGUGAAAACUUGUUUUAUCAACUUAUUGGAAAAGUGAACAUAAUCUUGAAGUGCGGGGUGUGUGUGUCUUAUUCUGUGAGAUCUUUUUUCUUUUUUAAUUUAGACUUCUCAAAGGUGUAUCAUAUUAUAAAUACAUUAGAAAUGUUUUACUCGGAGGAUAUGUAGCAUUCCUGUAAAGGUUAAAUCAAUAAAAAUGAUUUCGCCACAUUCCUGAGCAUGGCUAGAACAGGUAGCCUGUUGUUUAAGGUACCCUUGAGUUUUUGGAUCGCAUCAUUAUGGUGCAGCAGAAAGGGUUUGCUCAAGGCGUGUUACUGUAUGCAGAAACCCUGUAUUUCUUCUGGAAGGUAUCAUCGGACUGAAAAUAUCAGAUCACACAGGCAACUAACAACAUUAUCUUCAAACCUUGCAUAGAUGUAUGUAAAUUGUACUGUGCUUGCUAUAAGUUGAAUAGGAAUGUUAGCAUCCAAGAGGAUGAAGAUGCUUCAGUAGUUGAUAAGAACCAGGUAUGUGAAGGAGAGAAAGGGGAUGGGGGCAGGAGGAGAAGCGAAAAAAGAAUAUUUUAAAACAUUUUAGAGAUGGUGUGAAUCCUGGAAACAGAUUUUGUUGCAUUUUAUCACAGCCAGAAAGCUACUAAUCGAUUCAAUUAUUUUUCAUCUUUUGCCUGAGUAAAUAUAACUGCCAUUCAUCAGCAGUUUGUCUAGUAUGUCUUGUGAGCUCUGUAAAUGGUGUUUACAUUUUUACUGACUUGUUUUUCUGUAAUAUGCAGGGAGUAUUAAGGCAGUAUUGACACAUUUCCUUUGUGUUGUAUUGAGUGACUGCAGCAUUUGUCUGCUGUCAUACAGUUACGUACAUUUAUUCAGAUCAUACCACUAUAUAUUGUGUUAUAGCCAGAUCAUAAUUCAUUGAUUACUGCCUCGAUUGUACUAGUGUUUUACAACUGACCCUCUCUUUCCCCCUUCCAUCUCUUUAAAAAUCCUUCUACAUUUUAGGCUCGCAUAUUUUAAAAGUAAGUGUGCUAAAGUUGAAGGAGGCGGAGAAAAAUUAAUUGGAGUUGCUCUUUAGAUGCAUAUGGAAAAGAAAAGUAAAAGAGAAAAUAGUACUUUGCAAGCUUUGAAUAAGCCACUAAAAUAUCUGUUUCUAAAAGGAAAGUCAAGGGAUAACUUUAUUCAGAAUUGGAAUGUUUCAUCCAUGUAAGCAUAGAGAACUAUCAGUAUCUGUGUGUGCACUGCAAAUUUGCCUUAAAAUAAACAGGGAAUUAAUGCUAUCACAGACCAACCUUAUGCAUGUUUACUCAGAAGUAAGACCCACUGAAUUAAUGGGGAAGGAUCUGUAGGAUUGCAGGCUCGGUCUAACGUUUACCAAAAAUAUAUUUAAUACUUCUUUGUUUGUACCAUUAGAAAUGAGUGAAUGAAAAAUGUUUUAUAUACAGUACACAAACUUAAGUUACUCUUCUCAUUAUGCAGAACAUCAUUAGAAAAUCUGUUUCAUGUAUUAUUUUUAUAACAGACACAGUGGCACUUUUUACAGGAAAUUAUUAUUGCAAUGAUUCAUAUGUUCAGGUUUUGCGAACAAUUUAUGUAACUUUCUAAAAUAAGCACUUCUUUGACUGGAUUAAUCAGUCACUUUAAUUUACAAUUCCUUAUGGAUUUUUGGAGUCUGAAAACUGAGCUUUUUUUGGUUUAAUAUUCCCUUCUUUGCUAAAUAACUGUAUGAAGCAUGUUUUAAAUAAUAAAAUGUCAAUAAACAUCCCUGCUUGUCUUGGGUUUUUUAUGUUUCUAAUUUUGCAGUUUAGGGUUAGAUAGGAAAAGUUUACAGGGUCACUGUGAUAUGAUCUAGAUGACAACAACAGCAACAACAACAAAUUCUGUAUGCCAUCCUGAACUCUGAAUUCACUGAAUAGGAGUGAAUUUGAAAGAAGUGAAAUGAACUGAGAGCCCGUCAUUGAAAACUCCUCCGGGAGGAAGAGGAGGGAAGCCAGGCUCCCCGGUGAGGCCUGGUCAUUUUGAAAAAGGCCGUCACUGUUGCAAUGGCUGCAGCUCUUGAGGCAAAAGGUCCUUUGAAUGGAAUCCUAAUAUUGCUUGCAGCAAAGCUGGGAAGCUAUAGGAUCCUUUUGUAAAUAUAAUUUAGUGAAAUUUUACUUCAGGGAAGCAAAUAGCACUGAUUAGUUGGGGAAAUAAAUACAGGGCCAACACUUGCUACCUGUGUGUCUCACAAGGCUGCUUUUAUGUCCACAUUGUGCAUUGUUGACCUUCUGCUUCUCCAGUGCUUCACAGCGCUGCCCUAGGAAGAAGCAGUCUUGGAGUGCUUCUCCGAUUAUUCUGUGUAUCAUGAAAAGGAGUUUCUCAGAAGAAAGGACACUUGGAGAACUUUUCGCUGCAACAUGUAUUCUAAAUGAAUAAAUUAUUGUUUGGUGCAGCAUAUUUAUAGAUCGUUUCAUUGUUGUGCACUUGAAGGCAGCAGAAUGCUUUUCUUACCAUUUCCCAGUUAGAUACUGAAAAGCCUGUACUCUUCAAAAUGGUUGUUUCUAAACAUCAGCCCAACUGCAAGUAUUUCAUGGUGCAAUUCAGGACCUGGGUACUCAGUGGUAGGUCCAAUUGAAUUUAAUGGGGCUUAUUCCCAGGUAAGUAAGUGCAGAAUUGCUGCCUAAUACUCAACUUUGGUUAUGUUUGCAUCUCUGCUUUCUAUACCAACCGAGAUAAUUGCAACCGUGAUAACACCAUUAAAGGUUUAGUGCAGUCUUACAGUUCUUCACACAAGAACAUUCCCUUUAUAGGUGAAGAAACAGAAGUGUAAUAACCUAUUGUAUUUUGACUAAAAAUAAAUGAGUUAUGUAGCAUUUUGUGUAAACUCCUUAGUUACCAUUGAGUUUAAUUAUCAUUACUUUACAAGAUUCCUAUAACGUAUUCUC